UGGGGAAUUUUGGACAAUGGGCGCAAGCCUGAUCCAGCCAUGCCGCGUGUGUGAAGAAGGCCUUCGGGUUGUAAAGCACUUUCGGCCGGAACGAAAUCGCCUCCGUUAAUAGCGGGGGUGGAUGACGGUACCGGAAGAAGAAGCACCGGCUAACUACGUGCCAGCAGCCGCGGUAAUACGUAGGGUGCGAGCGUUAAUCGGAAUUACUGGGCGUAAAGGGUGCGCAGGCGGUUGCGCAAGUCAGGCGUGAAAUCCCCGGGCUUAACCUGGGAAUGGCGCUUGAAACUACGUGACUGGAGUAUGGCAGAGGGAGGUGGAAUUCCACGUGUAGCGGUGAAAUGUGUAGAGAUGUGGAGGAACACCGAUGGCGAAGGCAGCCUCCUGGGCCAAUACUGACGCUCAUGCACGAAAGCGUGGGGAGCAAACAGGAUUAGAUACCCCCGUAGUCCCUGAGCGGGCUGGCAAGGCGCAU
rnacentral:rRNA from 1 species